UGGGCUUAUUUUAAGCACAAAAUGGCUUAUAAGCUGGCCAGCUAAACACUCAAAAAAGCUAAAAACAGCUUAUAAGCUAUAAGUGUUUUCAGCAACUUAUAAGAUAAGCCAAACAGGCUCUUAAUUAUGGUGUUAAGGAAAGUAAUCACUUAGCAUAAAUUAUGGUUAGAAAAGAGUUCAUUUAUUAAUGAAGGCCUAGAAAAUCCAGAGGUAGUCUAAAUUCCCAAACUUCCUUUAUCAAUCUGAUAUCUCUUAUAAGUGUUCUAAUGGUGAUUCCUAUUCUUGGGUCUCAUGAUUGUUCCAAGUUCCUUCGUGCGGAUUACGACGUGAUGAACAAAUUGAAUAUCAGCUGAUGUUCGUGGCAAAUGCUCGGCCCCGACAGUUUUUCAGGUUAUUGUUGGAGUUUUCCGGAAGAUGCACGGUGCCUAUCUUGGAGGCCUCCAUCAUUUUCAUUCCGAGAUGGAUGUUGGGUCUCAGAUUUAUUGUUGUAUUCUGGUUCAAUAUUAGCCGCUCUUGUACUAGUCUAGACCAGGUCAAGGGAAACUGAGUCAUUGUAUUUAUUAAAUAGUUGUAAACACUUCCGCUGUUCGUUUAAAUAUAUUGGUUGACUUCU